rnacentral:rRNA from 1 species
CCUACGGGAGGCAGCAGUGAGGAAUAUUGGUCAAUGGACGAGAGUCUGAACCAGCCAAGUAGCGUGAAGGAUGACUGCCCUAUGGGUUGUAAACUUCUUUUAUAUGGGAAUAAAAUGUUCCACGUGUGGGAUUUUGUAUGUACCAUAUGAAUAAGGAUCGGCUAACUCCGUGCCAGCAGCCGCGGUAAUACGGAGGAUCCGAGCGUUAUCCGGAUUUAUUGGGUUUAAAGGGUGCGUAGGUGGAUUGUUAAGUCAGUUGUGAAAGUUUGCGGCUCAACCGUAAAAUUGCAGUUGAAACUGGCAGUCUUGAGUACAGUAGAGGUAGGCGGAAUGCGUGGUGUAGCGGUGAAAUGCUUAGAUAUCACGAAGAACUCCGAUUGCGAAGGCAGUUCACUGGACUGCAACUGACACUGAGGCUCGAAAGUGUGGGUAUCAAACAGGAUUAGAUACCCUAGUAGUC